rnacentral:rRNA from 1 species
GAUGAACGCUGGCGGCGUGCCUAAUACAUGCAAGUCGAGCGAACAGACGAGGAGCUUGCUCCUCUGACGUUAGCGGCGGACGGGUGAGUAACACGUGGAUAACCUACCUAUAAGACUGGGAUAACUUCGGGAAACCGGAGCUAAUACCGGAUAAUAUCUUGAACCGCAUGGUUCAAUAGUGAAAGACGGUUUUGCUGUCACUUAUAGAUGGAUCCGCGCCGCAUUAGCUAGUUGGUAAGGUAACGGCUUACCAAGGCAACGAUGCGUAGCCGACCUGAGAGGGUGGUCGGCCACACUGGAACUGAGACACGGACCAGACGCCUACGGGAGGCAGCAGUAGGGAAUCUUCCGCAAUAGGCGGAAGCCUGACGGAGCAACGCCGCGUGAGUGAUGAAGGUCUUCGGAUCGUAAAGCUCUGUUAUGAGGGAAGAACAAAUGUGUAAGUAACUAUGCACGUCUUGACGGUACCUAGUCAGAAAGCCACGGCUAACUACGUG